rnacentral:rRNA from 1 species
CCGACGGUGAGGGGCGAAUGCUGGGGGCGCAAACCGGAUUAGAUACCCGGGUAGUCCCACAGUAAACGAUUCCAGCUAUGUGUUGCUGGAACCAUGGGUUCCAGCAGUGCCGAAGGGAAGCCGUGAAGCUGGCCACCUGGGAAGUACGGUCGCAAGGCUGAAACUUAAAGGAAUUGGCGGGGGAGUACCACAACCGGUUGGAGCCUGCGGUUUAAUUGGAUACAACGCCGGGAAUCUUACCGGAGGGGACAGCAGUAUGAAGGCCAGUGCUAAAGACCUUGCCAGAUCAGCUGAGAGGAGGUGCAUGGCCGGUCGCCAGUUCGUACCGUGAGGCAUCCUGUUUAGUCAGGCAACGAUCGAGACCCGCAGUCUUAUUUGCCAGCAUGCCCUUUGGGGUGUAUGGGUACAAUAAGACGACCGCCAGCGCUAAGCUGGAGGAAGGAGCGGGCUACGGUAGGUCAGCAUGCCCCGAAUCCUCCGGGAUACACGCGGGCUACAAUGGUCAGGACAAAAGGUACCGACC